rnacentral:pre_miRNA from 1 species
CCAGACAGUGUUAAUGCUACUCAUGUUGGGAGUUUGAAAUAACACUCACUCCUCUUCCAGUAGCAUUUACUCUUACUGA